UGGGGAAUAUUGCACAAUGGGGGGAACCCUGAUGCAGCGACGCCGCGUGGAGGAAGAAGGUCUUCGGAUUGUAAACUCCUGUUGUUGAGGAAGAUAAUGACGGUACUCAACAAGGAAGUGACGGCUAACUACGUGCCAGCAGCCGCGGUAAAACGUAGGUCACAAGCGUUGUCCGGAAUUACUGGGUGUAAAGGGAGCGCAGGCGGGAGAACAAGUUGGAAGUGAAAUCCAUGGGCUCAACCCAUGAACUGCUUUCAAAACUGUUUUUCUUGAGUAGUGCAGAGGUAGGCGGAAUUCCCGGUGUAGCGGUGGAAUGCGUAGAUAUCGGGAGGAACACCAGUGGCGAAGGCGGCCUACUGGGCACCAACUGACGCUGAGACUCGAAAGUGUGGGUAGCAAACAGG
rnacentral:rRNA from 1 species